GAUGAACGCUAGCGACAGGCUUAACACAUGCAAGUCGAGGGGCAGCAUGAGGUAGCAAUACCUUGAUGGCGACCGGCGCACGGGUGAGUAACGCGUAUGCAACCUGCCCGAUACCGGGGUAUAGCCCAUGGAAACGUGGAUUAACACCCCAUAGUACUUUUAUCCUGCCUGGGAUGGGAGUUAAAUGUUCAAGGUAUCGGAGGGGACUGCGUCAUAUUAGUUAGUUGGUGGGGUAACAGCCCAGCAAGACGAUGAUAGGUAGGGGUUAUGAGAGGAAGGUCCCCCACAUUGGAACUGAGACACGGUCCAAACUCCUACGGGAGGGAGCAGUGAGGAAUAUUGGUCAAUGGACGAGAGUCUGAACCAGCCAAGUCGCGUGAGGGAAGACUGCCCUAUGGGUUGUAAACCUCUUUUAUAAGGGAAGAAUAAGUUCUACGUGUAGAAUGAUGCCUGUACCUUAUGAAUAAGCAUCGGCUAACUCCGUGCCAGCAGCCGCAGUAA
rnacentral:rRNA from 1 species